GUGACCCUGCAUCUUUUUGUCUCGCGGAGCCCCGGUCUCGGUUAUCCACCCCUACCUCCCAGUGUCUAAGCCGCGAAUAAUGGGUGACCCUAGACAAGCUUCUUGACCUGUGUGAACCCAAGGUUCCCCAAGGCAAACCAAGAUGGCUCAGGGCCCCAUUAUCAGAGGAGGACACACCCUAGACGGGCCAUCCCCCAGGAUGACGCCACCUCUGAGAUCUUGGCCUCCUGGCUCCGUCUCUGACCACAACCCAAGAAUGGGGUGAGGGCACAGGGUGUGGACUCAGCUACAGGAGGGCUUCCUGUUCAUGCAACGUCA
rnacentral:sRNA from 1 species